UUGGCUUAUAUCCUUGCUAGUACAGGCCUUUAGCAUGACCUUCAUCUCCUCAAUCGGUUUUGUGGUGUCAGCGGUCUGUUUUCGAGACCGGUCACCAACCUCAUUAAGGUCUUUAUUUCCUCAACCGGUUUUGUGGUGCCGGCAGUCUUAUUUUUGAGAUUGGUUGUCCACCUCAUUGAGGUUUUCAUCUCCUCAACCGAUUUUGUGGUGUCGGCAGUCUUAUUUUCG
rnacentral:lncRNA from 1 species